CGGACGGGUGAGUAAUGCUUGGGAAUCUAGCUUAUGGAGGGGGAUAACUACGGGAAACUGUAGCUAAUACCGCGUAAUAUCGAAAGGUUAAAGUGUGGGACCUUCGGGCCACAUGCCAUAGGAUGAGCCCAAGUGGGAUUAGGUAGUUGGUGAGGUAAAGGCUCACCAAGCCGACGAUCUCUAGCUGGUCUGAGAGGAUGACCAGCCACACUGGGACUGAGACACGGCCCAG
rnacentral:rRNA from 1 species